CGCAUGUGGGACCUCCUUGGUGACAUCCUCUACCCCUAGCAUGUUGGAUCGGUCGCUCCCAGGAGAAUAGGAAAGCCACGCCUUUAGGUGGUUACACUGCAUUCUCCCGUCUCGGAAGAGAAAGUGGAGUCUUGGACUCAAUAACAAGGCAGAAAAAUCCAUGUUUCUCAGGGGGCAGUGGUGGCUGGGAGGGGCUUUAACCCCAGUGCCGCUCUGCACGGCGGAGAAUCGGAGCGUGGAGCCAGGGCUCACCUGCCCCAGCGCGGCCGGUCACGGCCCGCCUUUGGUCAUCCUGCCCACCGGCUUGUGACGCCCAGAGCCAGACUGUGGCCGGGAAGGAGAGACAAGGUCCGGCGCCCACUGGGAGCCUUGGAACUUAUGCCCCUCCGAUAUCAGGGGACAACUGUAUCUCCUAAUCAAGAAGUAUUUUGUAGAAAAGAAGAGGAAGCUUGAAGAAGGGAAAUAAUUUGUCUACAGCCACCCAAGUGCCAAAGAGCAGAG
rnacentral:lncRNA from 1 species